UACGAAGGGGGCUAGCGUUGCUCGGAAUCACUGGGCGUAAAGGGUGCGUAGGCGGGUUUUUAAGUCAGAGGUGAAAUCCUGGAGCUCAACUCCAGAACUGCCUUUGAUACUGAAAGUCUUGAGUAUGGGAGAGGUGAGUGGAACUGCGAGUGUAGAGGUGAAAUCGUAGAUAUUCGCAAGAACACCAGUGCGAAGGCGGCUCACUGGCCCAUACUGACGCUGAGCACGAAGCGUGGAGCAACAGG
rnacentral:rRNA from 1 species